rnacentral:lncRNA from 1 species
CCUGCUUUAAUUUGUUAAAUUAGAAAUAACAUUAACAAAAACAAACAAAAAGAAAGAAACUGGCUGAAAAAAAGCGUUCUUUAUAGUAUUUUGUUGUUUCCCGAACACCGUAGUCCGUGAUUUCCGCAUUGCUGAUGAUUGACAGUGUUUUUUGACGAAUGAAAAUCGUCCUUCUGGUUACGCUGUAUCUAGUCAUGGUAGGUUGAGUAGUAGUUUAUAGCGUUACUAGGCAGCGCUAACGGAGCUUAACCAAUUUAGAUUUUACUGAUGUACGCAGAAAACAGUGCCAUAUAACAAUAUAUUUAAUUCAAAUUUACCAAAAGUUAUCUAUAAAUAGGUAAAUACACAGCCACCCUGGCUUCCUCAAGGUAAGUUGGUUGUUUUCGCUAAUUUUGAAGCACGUAGCUAAAUGAUACGCAGCUUGAGGUUGUAGAAUUUAAGAAAAAAAUUUCUAUUUGGGAUUUUUUUUUUUAAGCGAAUUUCGAGAAAAACUGGAGAAAAAAAGGCGUAAUUUGCAAGAAACUCUGGGGGGAAACAAAAAAGAUGACCUACAGGUACAGUUAUGUUUAUUAUUUCUACAAAAACAUUAAUAUCAAGGCUGGGACUCAGUGAAUCGGUUUGACUCUACAGUCCCACAAUCUCUAACGUGUCCUAACAUGACGCAGGGGGAGUCGUCCUCCUUCAUAACACUAACGAGCUUCCUUUCUUGUCUGAACUGUCCUAAACAGGCUUUGGUGUCCGACAAGCCGAGCGUGAGGAAGAGGCAGACUGCGAUGAAGGACACUGAAGACAGUGAGGAAGACUCAGGAGAGACUCUGAAACGCACACUGAGGGCUCAGAGGCAGAGGCGAAGGAGAAAAGUGCUUUCUUCUGUUGUUUUUCUCAGUCAGUCUUCAGUCAUUCCUGUGUUAUACAUACUUGUCGGUCUCUCUGUUUCUUUAUUAGCUGCUUGAGCAGUCUUCAGUCAAGGAGUCUCAACAUGGUGAUGAAGAUGAAGAGGAGAUUUCUCAUGUUCAGGACCAAAGUGUAAACGAGGAACCAGCUGAGAAGACAGUGGUUUUGAGGCCUCCAUCUGGUUCUCGCAGAGGUUUGUGGCUUUUUCUGAGUUAAGUGACUUUUUGUGGAGGAUCUGAGUGGUUUUCACUUAAGUUAAAGGCAUCUUUCAGCUCAAGUUUAUGGUCCAAAUACAAA